rnacentral:lncRNA from 1 species
GUUUACCCGCCGCGCUGCGCGCUCCCGCGGCGCCCCGGAGGGUCUUGCUGCUCUGCGCGUUAGGGCCUCUUGGGGGUGCGGGUUUCCCCCUUUUUUCCAGUCAGAGCUCAGUUUCUCAGCUACCUGUCGCUUAGUCGCUAUCGGUAAUGCCACCCCUUUUCCUCCUUUAUCUUCAGAGCUCAGGCAAGAGUUUAAGUUUCAAGAGAAGAGAAAUAACAAAAAGAACUUAGGAACUCACGCGGUUUGGGUUACUAGAAAAAAAGGGCUUAGACUUCUACGAAUUUUUUUUUUGAUAGGGUCUUGCUCUGACACACAGGCUGGAGUGCAGUGGCGUGAUCACAGCUCACUGCAGCUUCAAACUCCCGGGCUUAAGUGAUCCUCCCACCUCAGCCUCCCAAAGUGCUGACUACGGGCGUGCACCGCCACGCCCAACUUCCUACGAAAUUAUUUUAAAGAUGGUUUUCUAGGGGAACUACAAUGAGUACCCGUAGCGACCUCCAGCUCUCUCUCUGCCUUCCAGCCUUACUCCUUCUAUUGGUUGUAUGAGAAAGACAAGAUCUGGUGCUCUUCGAUGGGGGAGAGAGGGUAGUGGGGUGGGGUGGGAGUUGUGAGUAGCAGGAAGAACUAUGGAAAUUCAUUCCCUGGGAUAUUUCACAGUCUUUAAUGGCUUAUGUUUUUAAGUACUAACCACUUCCCCAAACACAGAUUCAGCUGUCUCUUUCCUUCCUCCACCAAAGAAUUCAGCUCAAAAGUGGUUAUCAGCUUGUCGCUGAUGAACUCUACUGGAUAACUCAUCCUUCUCCAUCAUCAUAGAGCUCUUUUAUGAGUUGAGAAUCUAGCAGGGAAGAUUAUUUUUGUAAAAAGAAAGAAAAGAAGGCCGGGCGCGGUGGCUCACGCCUAUAAUCCCAGCACUUUAGGAGGCCGAGGUGGGUGGAUCACUUGAGAACCAGCCUGACCAACAUGGUGAAACCCCAUCUCUACUAAAAAUACAAAAAUUAGCUGCUGUGGCAUCGGGGGCCUGUAGUCCCAGCUACUUGGGAGGAUCGCUUGAACCCGGGAAGCGGAGGUUGCAGUGAGCUGAGAUCCCGCCACUGUACUGCAGUCUGGGUGACAGAGCAAGACUCUGUCUCAAAAAAGAAAACCAAAAAAAAGGCCGGGCGCGGUGGCUCACGCCUGUAAUCCCAGCACUUUGAGAGACCGAGGCGGGCGGAUCACGAGGUCAGGAGAUCGAGACCAUCCUGGCUAACACGGUGAAACCCCAUCUCUACUAAAAAAUACAAAAAAAAUAGCCGGGCGUGGUGGCGGGGGCCUGUAGUCCCAGCUACUCGGGAGGCUGAGGCAGGAGAAUGGCAUGAACCCGGGAGGCGGAGCUUGCAGAGAGCC